rnacentral:rRNA from 1 species
GACGAACGCUGGCGGCGUGCUUAACACAUGCAAGUCGAACGGUGAAGCGCCUUCCUUUUUGGUGGGUGUGGAUGAGUGGCGAACGGGUGAGUAACACGUGAGUAACCUGCCCCCUUCUUCUGGAUAACCGCAUGAAAGUGUGGCUAAUACGGGAUAUUCUGGGUCUGUCGCAUGAUGGGUCUGGGAAAGAUAUUGUUUCGGUGGGGGAUGGGCUCGCGGCCUAUCAGCUUGUUGGUGGGGUGAUGGCCUACCAAGGCGGUGACGGGUAGCCGGCCUGAGAGGGUGGACGGCCACACUGGGACUGAGACACGGCCCAGACUCCUACGGGAGGCAGCAGUGGGGAAUAUGGCACAAUGGGCGCAAGCCUGAUGCAGCGACGCCGCGUGAGGGAUGGAGGCCUUCGGGUUGUGAACCUCUUUCGCCAGUGAAGCAGGCCUGCCUCGUUUGUGGGUGGGUUGACGGUAGCUGGAUAAGAAGCGCCGGCUAACUACGUG